AGUUAAGAACACAAUCCAGCUUAGAGAACAUUACUAGUGAUUUAUAACACUCCACGAAUAUUGAACUGAACACUUUGUCCCAGAAAGUGAACAUCUUCCUCCAGUCACCAUGAAUAAAGUUCUACUGAUCGUCUUGGUCCUGGCAGUGCUGAUGGGUCUUGCCUGCGCUUACCCACAGGUGAUAAUUACACGUCAAAGGAAAUUCCCCGGAGAACGGCGCCUGGGGAGUGUCAACUACGGCCAGUACCGCUUCGGAAAGAGAGGAUACCAGAGGAAGUCCCAUUCUAGAAAGAGGAACUGAAAAGGAAAGCACAACAAACAACGCUUUUCUGGGCCAUGACACCUUGUCUUCCGAAGCCUCCAGGGGAACAUAAAGGGGGGGAGGGGAAGGGGGUCUGGGGGAGGCUUUGGUAAACAGGAAGUAAAUAAGUACCGUAGGCUAAGUAGGCGCCUCAGCAAUUGUUGAAAGACUGACCAUAAAAGUCGAAGAAACGCCUCAUGGGUACGAAUUAUCUACCUCUGCAGUCGCAAGCUGGACGGAAAGGACAGCUAGACGCCCCUACCUGCAGGAUAGAUAUGGCGGAACCCGAAUUGCUUCGCUAACACCGCUUUGUUACUAUAUUCCUAAAGGAUUUAUUAUUCCAUCAUCCUAAAAAGGACUCGAGACUACUUCAAGUCUAUCUCAAGCCAAAAAAUAUCUGAUUUAAACGUUUUUUUGUGUGGAUGUCAGCUAUGGGUUGAAAAGACAUGUGUAUAGUUGUUAUGGUUAUGUAGUUUUAUGUAGUUUUAUGUUGAUGUGGUUUAUGAUGAUUGUCUGAGGAUGUGAUGUUUUGUUUUUUUGAAUAUUGUUGGAUGUUCCUGUGUGAAUGUCUUUUAUUUAUUUACAAUGUAUGGAUAUUAAUCGCCCAGUAUUAUCCUAUGCUAUUUUGUUUAUUAAAGUUGUGUUAUUGUUAAUAUAAUAUUGACUAUUUUGUAAAUAAGUCAACACUAUAAGUAAAAUAAAUAUUUUCUUAGAA
rnacentral:lncRNA from 1 species